rnacentral:rRNA from 1 species
CCUACGGGAGGCUGCAGUGGGGAAUAUUGCGCAAUGGGCGAAAGCCUGACGCAGCGACGCCGCGUGAGGGAUGAAGGUCUUCGGAUCGUAAACCUCUGUCAGCAGGGAAGAACGGUCACUGUGCUAAUCAGCAGUGAAUUGACGGUACCUGCAAAGGAAGCACCGGCUAACUCCGUGCCAGCAGCCGCGGUAAUACGGAGGGUGCGAGCGUUAAUCGGAAUUACUGGGCGUAAAGCGCUCGUAGGCGGUAUGUCAAGUCAAGGGUGAAAUCCCCGGGCUCAACGUGGGAACGGCCUUUGAAACUGGCAAACUGGAGUGUGUGAGAGGGUGGUGGAAUUCCAGGUGUAGGAGUGAAAUGCGUAGAUAUCUGGAGGAACAUCAGUGGCGAAGGCGACUAUCUGGCACAUAACUGACGCUGAGGAGCGAAAGCGUGGGUAGCAAACAGGAUUAGAUACCCUUGUAGUC